rnacentral:rRNA from 1 species
CAGGCCUAACACAUGCAAGUCGAGGGGUYGWRSGRGGGUAGCAAUACCUUUGGCGGCGACCGGCGCACYKKUGAGUAACACGUAUGCGACCUGCCCCGGACAGGGGGAUAAACCCGGGAAACUGGGCCUAAUACCCCAUACGCCAUGAGGAUGCAUGUCCUCUAGGUGAAAGAUCCGUCGGUCCGGGAUGGGCAUGCGGCGCAUUAGCUUGUUGGCGGGGCAACGGCCCACCAAGGCGACGAUGCGUAGGGGUUCUGAGAGGAAGGUCCCCCACACUGGUACUGAGACACGGACCAGACUCCUACGGGAGGCAGCAGUGAGGAAUAUUGGUCAAUGGGCGGAAGCCUGAACCAGCCAAGUAGCGUGUGGGAUGACGGCCCUAUGGGUUGUAAACCACUUUUGCGCGGGGAUAACCGGCGGCACUUGUGCCGCCCUGCAGGUACCGCGCGAAUAAGGACCGGCUAAUUCCGUGCCAGCAGCCGCGGUAAUACGGAAGGUCCGGGCGUUAUCCGGAUUUAUUGGGUUUAAAGGGAGCGUAGGCGGGAUGUUAAGCGUGCUGUGAAAAGCCGGGGCUCAACCCCGGUCGUGCAGCGCGAACUGGCUUUCUUGAGUGCGCGGGAGGCACGCGGAAUUCGUGGUGUAGCGGUGAAAUGCUUAGAUAUCACGAAGAACUCCGAUUGCGAAGGCAGCGUGCCGUAGCGUUACUGACGCUGAAGCUCGAAGGUGCGGGUAUCGAACAGGAUUAGAUACCCUGGUAGUCCGCACGGUAAACGAUGGAUGCCCGCUGUCCGCGCGUUGUCGUGGGUGGCCAAGCGAAAGCGUUAAGCAUCCCACCUGGGGAGUACGCCGGCAACGGUGAAACUCAAAGGAAUUGACGGGGGCCCGCACAAGCGGAGGAACAUGUGGUUUAAUUCGAUGAUACGCGAGGAACCUUACCCGGGCUUGAACUGCAGAGGACGCGCGUGGAGACAUGCGUUCCCUUCGGGGUCUCUGUGGAGGUGCUGCAUGGUUGUCGUCAGCUCGUGCCGUGAGGUGUCGGCUUAAGUGCCAUAACGAGCGCAACCCCUCUCCGUAGUUGCCAUCGGGUUAUGCCGGGCACUCUGCGGACACUGCCACCGCAAGGUGUGAGGAAGGUGGGGACGACGUCAAAUCAGCACGGCCCUUACGUCCGGGGCUACACACGUGUUACAAUGGGGCAUACAGAAAGCCGGCGCCGCGCGAGCUGCGUCCAAUCCUCAAAGUGCCCCUCAGUUCGGACUGGGGUCUGCAACCCGACCCCACGAAGCUGGAUUCGCUAGUAAUCGCAGGUCAGCAUACUGCGGUGAAUACGUUCCCGG